rnacentral:rRNA from 1 species
AUUGAACGCUGGCGGCAGGCCUAACACAUGCAAGCCGAGCGAGCGGCGAACGGGUGAGUAAUGUGUGAGGACUGCCCGAUAGAGGGGGAUAACUGCUGGAAACGGGGGCUAACACUCGCGCCCGUAGCAUAACCCCUAUGGGAUUUGCUAGUAGGUAAGGUAAUGGAUUACCUAUGUGACCAUCCCUAGCUGGUCUGAGAUGAUGAUCACGCACACUGUGACUGAGACACGGCCCAGACUCCUACGGAGUCGGCAGUGGGGAAUAUUGCACAAUGGGCGAAAGCCUGCUGCAGCCAUUGCGCGUGUAUGAAGAAGGCCCUAGGGUUGUAAAGUACUUUCAGUCGGGAGGCGUUACCUACAGAAGAAGCAUCGGCUAACUCCGUGCCAGCCGCCGCGGUAAUUC